rnacentral:rRNA from 1 species
UACGUAGGGCGCAAGCGUUGUCCGGAAUUAUUGGGCGUAAAGAGCUCGUAGGCGGUUUGUCGCGUCUGCUGUGAAAUCCCCAGGCUCAACUUGGGGCGUGCAGUGGGUACGGGCAGACUAGAGUGCGGUAGGGGGAGACAUGGAAUUCCUGGUGUAGCGGUGGAAUGCGCAGAUAUCAGGAGGAACACCGAUGGCGAAGGCAGGUCUCUGGGCCGUUACUGGACGCUG